rnacentral:rRNA from 1 species
CAGCGAAAGGUGCUUGCACCUUUCAAGUGAGUGGCGAACGGGUGAGUAACACGUGGACAACCUGCCUCAAGGCUGGGGAUAACAUUUGGAAACAGAUGCUAAUACCGAAUAAAACUCAGUGUCGCAUGACACAAAGUUAAAAGGCGCUUUGGCGUCACCUAGAGAUGGAUCCGCGGUGCAUUAGUUAGUUGGUGGGGUAAAGGCCUACCAAGACAAUGAUGCAUAGCCGAGUUGAGAGACUGAUCGGCCACAUUGGGACUGAGACACGGCCCAAACUCCUACGGGAGGCUGCAGUAGGGAAUCUUCCACAAUGGGCGAAAGCCUGAUGGAGCAACGCCGCGUGUGUGAUGAAGGCUUUCGGGUCGUAAAGCACUGUUGUAUGGGAAGAACAGCUAGAAUAGGGAAUGAUUUUAGUUUGACGGUACCAUACCAGAAAGGGACGGCUAAAUACGUGCCAGCAGCCGCGGUAAUACGUAUGUCCCGAGCGUUAUCCGGAUUUAUUGGGCGUAAAGCGAGCGCAGACGGUUAAUUAAGUCUGAUGUGAAAGCCCGGAGCUCAACUCCGGAAUGGCAUUGGAAACUGGUUAACUUGAGUGCAGUAGAGGUAAGUGGAACUCCAUGUGUAGCGGUGGAAUGCGUAGAUAUAUGGAAGAACACCAGUGGCGAAGGCGGCUUACUGGACUGUAACUGACGUUGAGGCUCGAAAGUGUGGGUAGCAAACAGGAUUAGAUACCCUGGUAGUCCACACCGUAAACGA